rnacentral:lncRNA from 1 species
AUGAACUCAGCCUGGAGUACUUUAAGUGGUAACUGCUCCAGUUUUCUCUUCCCUUCUCUGGGCUCCUCUCUUUGCUUCCGACCAGGUUCCACUCCUGUUUAUCCCUGGGUGGUUCGCCCCUGGAUUUAGCAAUGCGAUCUACUUGCUGGUUAUUUGAUUCCGGAGGAGCAUUGGCUGGGGCUGCGAUUCCCGCCGCGCAGUCUCCAAGCAUUUCCGCCACAUCGCCGGGGCUCCAGGUUCCAGUGCAAGUCUUCAGCGGUAGAUUGCAGAACUGAAAACGAGUUUGAGCAUCCAAGCAUCUCUCUUAACAGCCAGGUGCUGACCAGUAAGAUUCCAUACAAAUCUGCAAAAGGACUCUGGAGGACAAAUACUUCAGCAGACACCAUGAAGUCCUGGAGAGUCUCCACAAAAACCGUGAGUGUUUCUCCCGUGUAUAGUCAAGGAAGUGGAUAACCCAGUAUUCCAAGAAAUCCCAAGGUAGAGCCUUCACCUCAAGGAGGAGGCCACGUCUGAAGGCACAGAAGAGAAAGUGCUGCUUUCUGGCUUCCCUUUAAACUUGGAAGCUUUGUGGACUUGAGGGCAAGUGAUGAAAUCGCCCCAGCUUGGACUCCAGGAAGAUCCAAAUGAGCACUUCCAAGUAGGAUGUGGAGGGUGACUUCUUUUGCCUUCAGGACUGUCCCACUUGCUGUCCCGCUUAGCUGAAAGAACUAAGUCUCCUAAAUAAGUAUUUGUGGUUCACCAAAGUGAACAAAGUAUAUAUCCAAAUAUUGAUUCAGAAUCCAAAAGACCUCUGCCUCUCUGGAUUGAAUAACUUUCCUUCUUUUUCCUCUUUCCUUUACAUUUUAUACCCGGACAAAGUGUGGGGACCUUCAGUGUGCACUGAUGAUGAAUCAGCCUUGGAACCUGGGACAGAAAAGGGGGAAGGGUUGAUUAGUUCUGUAAAUGAAGCCAUUCCAAUGACUGACUGUGAACACAUCAGUGAUCAAAGAGCUAACAGUAAGUGGCAUAAAGCAGCACAGAGGGAUGAAUAUGUUCUGUCUGAUGGGAAAGCUGAGAUAUUUGUGGUGUUAAAGUCCAAUAGUACUUACUAGAUGCUAGGAAAGGGCAUUAUGUAAGGAACCUAAAUAGGGCUAGCAUAAUGAAGUCAGGUGUGAAGAGUAAGCUUUAAUGUUGUAAAGCACAGGAUUGUUGCUACAGGGUACAAUGAUGUAUUAUAUAUUCUGCUUUUAAAAAAGGAA